CCUACGGGCGGCAGCAGUGAGGAAUAUUGGUCAAUGGACGAUAGUCUGAACCAGCCAAGUCGCGUGAAGGAUGACUGCCCUAUGGGUUGUAAACUUCUUUUAUAUGGGAAUAAAAUGUUCCACGUGUGUGAUUUUGUCUGUACCAUAUGAAUAAGGAUCGGCUAACUCCGUGCCAGCAGCCGCGGUAAUACGGAGGAUCCGAGCGUUAUCCGGAUUUAUUGGGUUUACAGGGAGCGUAGGUGGAUUGUUAAGUCAGUUGUGAAAGUUUGCGGCUCAACCGUAAAAUUGCAGUUGAAACUGGCAGUCUGGAGUGCAGUAGAGGUGGGCGGAAUUCGUGGUGUAGCGGUGAAAUGCUUAGAUAUCACGAAGAACGCCGAUUGCGAAGGCAGCUCACUGGACUGCAACUGACACUGAGGCUCGAAAGUGUGGGGAUCAAACAGGAUUAGAUACCCGUGUAGUC
rnacentral:rRNA from 1 species